rnacentral:lncRNA from 1 species
UUUGGAUUGAUUUCCGGCGAGAAAUCCGAUGGAGAGUUGAGCUCGAAGCGGCGAAGUCGAUAGAAAAAAUGUGGAAAAGCGAAAAAACUGAACCGAUUAAUUUCAUGGGGUUUUGAAUAAUAAUAUUCGGAAUAUGAUGUUUUAAUUAGUAGUUUUCAAUCUGAAUUUCUGUUUUCUUCGCUGCUCGCUCGUUCCUCAUCUUGUUUCUCUCGCGGCAUUCAGAUAUCCAGACGCUUCCCGCCGACCCUUAUGAUGAUGUUGCUCUGAAGGGUCAAUGAAUUUCAAUUUCUCCUGUUUUUCUUUCUAUUUGUUGAAAUUCUUCGCUUUCCAUGAUAUCUGUGUUUCUUAAAAUUUAAUUAGGGUUUAUGAUUUUUUGUUCUUUAUUUAUUAUGCCCUUUUUCUUAAGCAUGGUUGUGGUGUGAUUUUUCUAUUUCAUUUUAUUCUUUCAUACUUCUUUGUCUGUUGUAUUCUAUCUUGGUGCUCUAGUAUUCCCUUUCCCCGAUUUGAAAUUUUAGGUUUUGAAAUUAGUUCUGUUUUCUGUGAUUUUGUGCUGAUAUAAUGUGAUAUUGCGCAGUUUUAUCUUCGAAGUUCUUUACCUUGUUUGCAUUGCUUAGCAUAAGUACUUCCCUAGCUCAACUCUUAAACUGCUUAUGAUUUGGUGGUGGUGCUUAGAAUUUGUGAGGGAUGGAUCAAGGAUUUUAGCUUCGCAGAACAAAAUUUCCUAUCCAUUUCUUUCGACAAGUGCUUUCUGCCACGCAAACCUCUAUGGAAGUUGCAUUACUGAACAGACAAAGUUGUACAAGGAUCGAGCUUGUAGCUAGGUGGAGCUCUGCCGUUCCAAUACGGCUUAGCUGUUAUUUUCUCUUUGAUAUAUAUAUAUAUAUAUAUAUAAAAUAUGAUCGUGUUUUUAUUGUAACCUUGUUUUUUCAGUGUUAAUUUCCUGUCAAACAUGUCCAUGUCUGUGUUUAGUUAUCUUAUUUUCGUUGGAAGUAGAAAUUGUAUGAGUAAAUUGAGGAAGCAUAUAUAAUACAGGUUUGUUUUGUGCAGUUCAUUUUUUUUUAUCCUCUUCAUAGUAAGACUGUAAUUCAUAUCUGUGCUGUUGGUCUUCAUUAAGUAUGCUCUGCAGCCGCCUCACAAAAUAUGUUUCCUAUAUUUCAAUAUUGAGCGUAUGUCCUGUGUCUAAACAUGGUCUUUCCUCAAUAAAAGAUGAGUAUAAAAUAUAAAUUAUUCAAAAGAAAAAAACUAUAUACCAAUUGAAAAACAAUAAUCUAGUAUUCCCUCGGUUCGUCAAAAAUAUACUAGGUUGGCCUAAGUGGAAUACUGAUGGUGAAAGGCACUACUUAUUCCAAGACGAACUUCCCUCAACUGCAUAAGAUUUACUUGUUUUGUUUAUGCAUCUCUGGCUUUUCCUGUUCAUUCCCUCGAGAUUCAGCUCGUUUUAUUUAGGAAUUCAGCGAGCUUGUUUUGUUCCUCAUUUCUAAGAGUGAAGAUAACUUUCUUGUUAGAAAUGGCUUUGCUUGUUCUGCAUAUUGGUAAUUGACGAGAUUAUGAAUGUCUUGAGAAUUUCAUCAUGUUACUCGCUAUGUAAGUAUUUGCUGAAUAAGUUAGGCUGCAGAGGUUCAUUUCUCGUUCUAGAACGAGAGAAUGAAGGCACAUUCUUGAUGGCAUGCGUACAACAGGUCACGCCACCAGUUCUUGGAUCAUCAAAACCGAUGAGAGGCCCUGCAAAUGCUAAUUAUAUGGUUUGUAUUUUCAUUUCCAAACUGCAGAUGAUGUUCUUUUCUUGUGUGGAACGGGGCGAAUGUAGAUGACGUCGAAGAGAAGCAGAUUCUUGACUCUCUCAAGCUGUGCAUUUAGGAGUUGUAAGUAAAAUACAUUAUGAAUUCAAGCUAACUCUGGAGCUUGAGCUUGACAAUAGUCGGCUCAAAAGUAUAACCGAAAUUAGUUUGUUCAAGUUUAGAGUUAGCUGCUGACGUAGUACACUAGUGUUGUGUUUGAGCUCACGAGACUAUUGUGGUAUUGUAAAUUUAGUUUUAUAUUGCGAUAGAUAGAUUGUAAACUAUUUUGAAUUAUUUCGAGUCCAGGUUCAUUGCUGAUGAUUUUAGUUGAUUUCAGAGCUUGGAUUACUCGGCUCGAUUCAAUUACAACUGAGUUAUGAGUAUAGACAUGUUUUUCUUCCUUUAAUCUCGAGCUUAACAUGUUUCUAUUUGAGAUCAAUAAGAUUAGCCUACGUCUUUGGGCUAUACACUAAUCCAGUGGGAAUUAUUCCAUUAGGCAAGGUUGGGCUGAUAGUUUUUCUUUUUCUUUUGGGGGGGAGGGGUGUUGGGCUGAUGUUAAUAUUAGUUUCGUUGGGCUCAACUGCAUAAAAUAAAAGAUACUCUAUAUCCAAUUUCACAAGGAAAGUUGAUUUUCUUUAUUCCUUUUUUCACGAGUGUGCUGUAGACUGUAGUGAUUCACCGGUUUUACUUUUGUUGAUUCUUGUGAGGUAAUAAUCUGCAAAUUAUUAUAUAGGAUAGUAAUGAUACACCUACCAACUCAUUUACUAUUAUCAG